GGGGGCAAGCUGCAAAAGCCCACGCCGGUGGAAAACAAGGUUUUGCUUGCUGCAAAGGCUGCUCCAAAAGCCAAGGCCAGGUUUGUUGUUGAUUCAGGCUGUACCCGCCAUAUCUCAAAGGACCGCCACCUAUUUAUCUCCUUCAAGCCUCAAGAUGGUGAGAUCCACCUGGCUGAUGGAAAGACGUUGCGAAUCGCAGGAGAAGGGACUGUGAAACUGGCAAGUCUGCACACUACCAUCAAAGAUGUACUGUAUGUUCCAGGCGCUGCAGACAAUUUGCUCAGUGUCCCACAGCUGACUGGGCGUGGUUUUGAGAUUUCCUUCAAGAGGAGCGUCUGUGUCAUCAGAAAAGGCAAAGAGGACAUUUUGCAUGCAAAGUUUAUGGAUGGCUUGUUCUGUAUAACUUAUGAUGACAUUGGUGCUGUUGUGUCUAAUGCUGAUUCUUGUUGUGUUGCACAAACUAACAAAGUUCUUCAUGCAGGAUGCAUUCAUGAUGCACACAGAAGAUUUUGUCACAUGUCUUGGCAGGCGCUGGCCAAGAUGCCAGAGAUGGUUGAGGGUUUGAACAUCAAACCCUGUAAGUUUCACAUGAAAUGUGUAUCUUGUGCAGAGAACAAGGUGAAGGUUGCUCCAAAAGGCAAGGAGUCUAGCAGGCAGGCUUCCAAACCCUACCAGCUAGUGCACGCAGACCUGGUUGGUCCACUUGCGCCCUCUUUGGGUGGAGCAAGGUACUUCAUGGUUCUAAUUGAUUCUUUUUCCAGGUACAUUCAUGUGUUUAUGCUCGAGCAGAAAUCGCAAGCGUUUCCUAAGUUCAAGGCAUUCUGUGCUUGGUUGGAGAAUGUUCACGGUAAACGCAUUGGCUGUCUGUUUACUGAUCGAGGCGGGGAGUUCACUUCUCAGCAGUUUGAAGCUUUCCUGACUGAGAAGGGAAUCCAGCAUGACUUGUCAACGCCUAGAUCGCCAUGGAUGAAUGGGCUUGCGGAGCGAGCAAAUCAAACGUUGCUGCAAGGAAUGAAAACAUUGUUGCAUGAUGCCAAUCUCCCUGAUAAGUAUUGGGGGGAGGCUCUGUCGAAUUUUGCUUACACUUAUAAUCGCAGAUUGUCAUCACCUAUUGGUUGUACCCCUAUGAGAAGAUGUUUGGUAAGAAACCCAACAUCAAGCACAUGAGAAUCUUUGGUUCUGACAUGUGGGUACACACCCCACAGAGCAACAAGCUUGGGAAGCGUGGGGCACAUGGUUUGUUCAUGGGGUACGAAAAGGUGCAUACAGGGUAUGGAUGACCAACUCUAAGUCCAUUAAGUUCACAAAGAGUGUUGAGUACAAUCCUAAGUGGGGGGAAAAUGUGGGAAUUUUCCAGAGUUACCCAGAGGAGGAUGAAGGUGAUGUCAAAGAAGCAGCUAAAGCUGAGGAAGCUGCUGAGGAUGAUGAUGACGAUGAUGAUCAGAGUUCGGAUUCCAGUUCAGUGGGCGGCGCUGCUGCUGGUGUCAGUGACAGUGAUGACACAGCAGACUACAAGAGCGCAAAGGCCUCAGUCAGACCAUCUGAUGCGUCUGACAAUGAACUGGAAGAACCACUGUUCACCAUUGGUCACUUUUCUCCUAAGAAAGAGGAGAUGAGUCCAGAAGACUUGCGUCUAGUACGCAGAUCUGAAAGAGCCACAAAGGGCAGACCUCCAAAGAGAUUUGCUGAUGAGUUUGCUAAGACAGCAACUGCUGUUCUUAGUAGCUCAGAGAAGGUGUGGGAACCUUCAAGCUUCAAAGAGGUUCAGGAGUUAACCUCUAAAGAUGCUGAGCCUUGGCUUAAUGCCAUGAAGGCUGAAGUUGAUUCCUUGAAUAGGAACCAAACUUGGGAACUGGUACCGGUAGUCCCAGGAAUGAGACUGGUUGGCAGCAAAUGGGUCUUCAAGGCCAAGACAGACCAGAAUGGCAAGGUUGUCAGACACAAAGCCAGAUUGGUUGCCAGAGGUUUUUCACAGGUACCAGGACAGGAUUACCACGAGACCUACUCACCCACCGUCAAAUAUGAGAGCAUUCGGCUGAUGCUCAAGAUAGCUGCAGAGGAGAAACUGCAUGUUUCCCAUCAUGACAUUAAUACAGCUUUUUGUACGGGAUUUUGGAGGAGGAGCUGUUUAUGCUUCCACCUGAUGGGAUGCAGAUACAGAAGGGAAUGGUCUGUAAACUGCGGAAAUCCUUAUAUGGUCUCAAGCAGAGUGCCAGGUGUUGGAACACAAAACUCACUGAGACGUUGCUUUCUCUAGGUUUUCACCAGGGCAAAGCUGAUCCAUGUGUGUUUGUCAAGGAGGAGGGGCAAAACAAACUGUAUUGUUUAUGUUUUGUUGAUGAUCUUCUGAUGUUUUGGAAGAAUCAGGCUUUGUACCAAAGCACCCUAGCUCAGCUGAAGGAGCACUUUGACAUGAAGGAUCUUGGUGAGGUAUCCAACUAUCUUUCUCUGCAGGUGGAGAGGGACCAAGCAGGUAAUUUUCUGGUACACCAAACACAGAAAAUUGCUGAUGUAUUAACCAGGUUGAAUUUGGUUGAUGCAAACCCAGCAGACACACCGAUGGUGACAGGUUACCAGGUAGACAGUACUGCUGAAGCGUUUUCUGACACAACGCUGUACAGAUGCAUUCUAGGCAAGUUGAAUUUCAUUGCUAGAUGCUCAAGACCUGACAUAGCUGUAAGCUGUAACCUGCUUAGCAGACAUGCCAACAAUCCUACUGUUCAGGAUUGGAAAGCUCUGAAGCGCAUAGCCCGCUAUUUGAAAGGGACUUUGCACUACAGGCUGAGGUUCACCAGUCAGAAGACUGGAGGUCUUGAAAUCUUUGCAGAUGCAAGUUUUGGAAGUGACACCACGGAUGGUACAAGCACUUCUGGAGUAUGCUACAUGUACAACCACUGUCUGUUUGACUGGUUGUGCAAAAGCAGACGACAGUGAGCCUAAGUUCCUGUGAAGCAGAACUCAAUGCUCUGUCAUUUUCACUCAUGGAUUGUGAAUGGUUGAUGCAACUGUUUAAGGACAUCAGAGUUUCUGUGAAAUGUCCUGUACAAGUGUAUCAAGACAAUAGAUCGUGUUUGGCUUUGCUGAACUCGGAGAGUUGCAAGCAAAGGACCAAGUACUUGCAGAUUAAGCUACAUCGUGCAAGGGAGUGUAUUCAGAAAGGACUCAUUCAGGUGUCCUACAUGCCAGGAAAUGAAAUUCCUGCUGAUCUGUUGUCUAAGGUUGUUAACAGAGAACAACUUAAGGUUUAUGUACAAAGGUUGCAAUUGGGUUGAACCACAGGUACUACAGGUUACACGGAAAGGGGGAGGAUGUUAGGAUAUUUCCGUUCCACCUUAAAAGGGAGCAGGCUUUGUGAGUCAGAGUCUGCGUAUUUCCUGUUCACAGGAUGUUUAUGUUUUCUGUUGCUUUCGUUUUCUCUCUGUGUCGCAGACACUAAAGCAGUCAGUCAUGUUUUUCUGUGUUCUGAUCAACGCUGAAUAAACUUGUAAAUAAUGCUC
rnacentral:lncRNA from 1 species